CCCUACUGGAGAAAAAUCAUAUCAAGUAGCUGACUUGUAUUGGAGUAAGUGAAAAUCACCAGGCUGAAGUCCUUUUCUCUGCACGCCACCUUGACUUCUGUUAUCAGCACCUCCUGAGACUGCUUAUGCCUACCAACCAGUGAACUCCUUUUAAGGAAAUUCAGUGGACACGUUCAUGUUCAUCAUACUUGGCCAGGUUGACCACUUCCUUAUUUUUGUUUGUUU
rnacentral:lncRNA from 1 species